rnacentral:rRNA from 1 species
CCUACGGGUGGCAGCAGUAGGGAAUCUUCCACAAUGGGCGAAAGCCUGAUGGAGCAACGCCGCGUGGGUGAAGAAGGUCUUCGGAUCGUAAAACCCUGUUGUGAGAGAAGAAAGUGCGUGAGAGUAACUGUUCACGUUUCGACGGUAUCUAACCAGAGAGCCCCGGCUAACUACGUGCCAGCAGCCGCGGUAAUACGUAGGUGGCAAGCGUUAUCCGGAUUUAUGGGGGGUAAAGGGUGCGCAGGCGGAAGCGGAAAGUCAGCGUUAAAAUUGCGGGGCUAACCCUGGCCGAGCCGUUGAAACUGUUCUUCUAGAGUGUGCGAGAAGUAUGCGGAAUGCGUGGUGUAGCGGUGAAAUGCAUAGAUAUUACGCAGAACACCGAUUGCGAAGGCAGAAUACUGGCGCCCAACUGACGCUCAUGCACGAAAGCGUGGGUAUCGAACAGGAUUAGAUACCCGGGUAGUC